rnacentral:rRNA from 1 species
GACGAACGCUGGCGGCGUGCUUAACACAUGCAAGUCGAACGGAAAGGCCCUGCUUGCAGGGUACUCGAGUGGCGAACGGGUGAGUAACACGUGGGUGAUCUGCCCUGCACUUCGGGAUAAGCCUGGGAAACUGGGUCUAAUACCGGAUAGGAGCCAUUUUUAGUGUGAUGGUUGGAAAGUUUUUUCGGUGUAGGAUGAGCUCGCGGCCUAUCAGCUUGUUGGUGGGGUAAUGGCCUACCAAGGCGGCGACGGGUAGCCGGCCUGAGAGGGUGGACGGCCACAUUGGGGCUGAGAUACGGCCCAGACUCCUACGGGAGGCAGCAGUGGGGAAUAUUGCACAAUGGGCGCAAGCCUGAUGCAGCGACGCCGCGUGGGGGAUGACGGCCUACGGGUUGUAAACUCCUUUCGCUAGGGACGAAGCUUUUUGUGACGGUACCUAGAUAAGAAGCACCGGCUAACUACGUG